UUUUUUUAUUUUUAUUUUUUUUAAGAUCUAGAUAACUGUAAGAUAUUUGAUGAGAAGCUCACCGGCAAUGGACGGGAAUAAAGGAACCGAUCCAAAUAGUUGACGGACAGAUAAGCCGUCAAUGGCUGGAAUCUAUAGUAUGCUUGCACCUGAAAAAACGAACCGCGUAAAGGAUGAAUAAAAGCAUGGACAUAUAUACAUGCGCUGCCAAUCCAUGAGAAGUAGCCGCGGAUCCAACGGCUGAUAAACCUAUAUUCAAGUUUCAAUCAAUAACUCCUCCGAAAUAGACACUGCGACUGAGCUGGACUGCUCAGAUCUCAUAUAGUACUUUUAACUGACUAAUCUAAACAUGUUGUGUACCGUAGUGGCAAUAUAGUAAUAUCAGUAAACUUAUUGUCGUUUACCUUGAGAAUCCAUGCAACGGAUUCUUCGCGAGCCGAUGCAUCGAGAGAGCG
rnacentral:misc_RNA from 1 species